UACAGAGGUCCCGAGCGUUGUUCGGAUUCACUGGGCGUAAAGCGCACGUAGGCGGAUUGUUAAGUCAGGGGUGAAAUCCUGGAGCUCAACUCCAGAACUGCCUUUGAUACUGGCGAUCUUGAGUUCGGGAGAGGUGAGUGGAACUGCGAGUGUAGAGGUGAAAUUCGUAGAUAUUCGCAAGAACACCAGUGGCGAAAGCGGACUCACUGGGUCUUUUCUGACGCUGAGGCACGAAAGCUAGGGGAGCGAACGGG
rnacentral:rRNA from 1 species